rnacentral:misc_RNA from 1 species
UGGAACAGGGUCCUUCCCACAGC